GAUGAACGCUAGCUACAGGCUUAACACAUGCAAGUCGUGGGGCAUCAUGAUGUAGUAAUACAUUGAUGGCGACCGGCGCACGGGUGAGUAACGCGUAUCCAACCUACCCUCCACUCAAGUAUAGGCUUCCGAAAGGGAGAUUAAUCCUUGAUAUCGUCAUUCUCUCUCCUGUUAGAAUGAUAAAAGGACAUCGUUUCGGUAGAGGAUGGGGAUGCGUUCCAUUAGGUAGUAGGUGGUUUAACAGGCCACCUAGCCGAUGAUGGAUAGGGGUUCUGAGAGGAAUGUCCCCCACACUGGUACUGAGAUACGGACCAGACUCCUACGGGAGGCAGCAGUGAGGAAUAUUGGUCAAUGGGCGCAAGCCUGAACCAGCCAUGUAGCGUGAAGGAUGACGGUUUUUUUGAUUGUAAACUUCUUUUCUGUGGGAUUAAAGUGUGGCAUUUA
rnacentral:rRNA from 1 species